rnacentral:rRNA from 1 species
GAUGAACGCUGGCGGCGUGCCUAAUACAUGCAAGUCGAGCGAACGGACGAGAAGCUUGCUUCUCUGAUGUUAGCGGCGGACGGGUGAGUAACACGUGGAUAACCUACCUAUAAGACUGGGAUAACUUCGGGAAACCGGAGCUAAUACCGGAUAAUAUUUUGAACCGCAUGGUUCAAAAGUGAAAGACGGUCGUGCUGUCACUUAUAGAUGGAUCCGCGCUGCAUUAGCUAGUUGGUAAGGUAACGGCUUACCAAGGCAACGAUGCAUAGCCGACCUGAGAGGGUGAUCGGCGACACUGGAACUGAGACACGGUCCAGACUCCUACGGGAGGCAGCAGUCGGGAAUCUUCCGCAAUGGGCGAAAGCAUGACGGAGCAACGCCGCGUGAGUGAUGACGGUCUUCGGAUCGUAAAACUCUGUUAUUAGGGAAGAACAUAUGUGUAAGUAACUGUGCACAUCUUGACGGUACCUAAUCAGAAAGCCACGGCUAACUACGUG